rnacentral:rRNA from 1 species
GGGUCAGUAGGUUGGUCGUGCCACCGGUACGUACUGGUCUCACUGAUUCCUCCUUCCUGAAGAACCGUAAUGCCAUUAAUUUGGUAUUGCGGGGAAACAGGACUGUUACUUUGAAAAAAUUAGAGUGUUUAAAGCAAGCUAACGCUUGAAUAAAUUAGCAUGGAAUAAUGAAAUAGGACGAUCGAUCCUAUUUUGUUGGUUUCUAGGAUUGACGUA